CACGAACUGUGCAAACGUUAUUCGGAAUCACUGGGCUUAAAGAGUUCGUAGGCGGCACGUUAAGUCGGGUGUGAAAUCCCUCGGCUCAACCGAGGAAUUGCGUCCGAAACUGGCGUGCUUGAGUAAGAUAGAGGUGAGCGGAACUGAUGGUGGAGCGGUGAAAUGCGUUGAUAUCAUCAGGAACACCGGUGGCGAAAGCGGCUCACUGGGUCUUAACUGACGCUGAGGAACGAAAGCUAGGGGAGCGAACGGG
rnacentral:rRNA from 1 species